GUUUCCGAAGUGUAGUGGUCAUUACGUGCGCCUAACACGCGGAAGGUCCCCAGUUCGAUCCUGGGCUGAAACA
rnacentral:tRNA from 1 species